GGCAACAUGGCCGAGUGGUCUAAGGCGCUGGAAUUAGGAUCUAUACCUUCUAUCCAGUCCGCAAGGGCGUGGGUUCGAACCCCACUGUUGUCA
rnacentral:tRNA from 2 species